rnacentral:lncRNA from 1 species
AGGUCAAGAUGUGAUCAUUCUGCUGCUGCUUCAGUACCAUGCCUGCUGCCUGAGCCAUGAUGGUGAUGUGUGCAUCCAACUGGAACCAUGAGUCCAACUUCAAACACACCCUUUCUUCUGGAAGUUGUCUUUCUCAUGGUCUUUUCUUACAGCCAUAGAAAGUAACUAACAUAACCAUCAUCUAGGUACAGAAGAGUGACUUCAAACGUCUGAAGGAUUCAUUCCAAGCUGUGAAGGGGUUUUGCCCAGUGGAUUUGGUCACAAAACAAGUGAUCAAAUUCCAUAAUGCUAGCUUAGAUGGGAUACCCAGAGCACUCACUGCUUCAACCAGAUACACUUAGGAAAUGUGAGUGUUGAAAAUGGAUUUGAUGCUGCAUAGCAAAUAAGGUCUCCAUAUAUUUGCUGCUCCUUACAUCUCUGAGAAAUUCAUAACUUAGCAGCCAACUUUUGCCCUUCAAUACCAGGUUUCAUGAUACUUAGAUGAAAAAGUCACACU